rnacentral:rRNA from 1 species
UACGAAGGGGGCUAGCGUUGCUCGGAAUUACUGGGCGUAAAGCGCACGUAGGCGGCUUCUUAAGUCGGUGGUGAAAUCCUGGGAGCUCAACUCCAGAACUGCCUUCGAUACUGGGAGCUCGAGUCCGGGAGAGGUGAGUGGAACUGCGAGUGUAGAGGUGAAAUUCGUAGAUAUUCGCAAGAACACCAGUGGCGAAGGCGGCUCACUGGCCCGGUACUGACGCUGAGGUGCGAAAGCGUGGGGAGCAAACAGG